AAACCAUGAUGGGGAUAUUGGUUUGUGUAACUCCUAAACCUCUCCCAAGCUUCCCCAAAGCUUCCCCAAAGCUUCCCCAAAGCUUCCCCAAAGCUUUCAUUGUUCUGCUGGGUAAAGCUUGAUAUCUGGUUUCUCAGCUU
rnacentral:snoRNA from 1 species